GUCGCAGGUCGUUGUACUGGGAAGGGUCGAUUCAAGCGCAUUCGUAAUGCGCGGGUCGGGGGUUCAAUUCCCUCCUGCGGCACCA
rnacentral:tRNA from 1 species